UACAAGGGAUUUAGGAGGGAAUAUGAAAGGGUGCUAGGGUUUGCUCGUGAAACGAGGCGUGGUACCCUUAGUUGGCUAUUUAAUAGGAACUUGGGUGGUGAAGGCAUCACACUUGGCUUGAGUUGAGAAAAAUUGUGAGAAUUUGAGGAGGAGGAGAAGAGAUUUCCGGCGAAGGUUUUGUGGUGGUGCUUGUGGCUGAGGUGAUUUCCGGCGACUUGUACGUGGUGGUACGAACAAGGUUCAGUGAAGUGGGGCCCUAUCUCCAAGGAGCAAGAAGACGAAGUUGAGUGGGUGAGGGCGCAGCUAUCAGAGACUGAGCGUGAGUGCGGGAACCUAGUCACGCAGAAGAAUUUGUUUGAGUCCGGACUGCUGCAAGGAAUGGCUGGCAUCAUAAGGGGGAGCACGAAGGUGGCCGUAGACAUUGAUGAGGCCGAGAUGCAGAAGCGGCUGAGGGAAUCUCGGGCCAAGAAAGCUGAGAAGAGUGCUGGAAAACGACCCAGGGAUGAUGAUGAGGGUCGGGUC